UCAGCUAAUUCCUGCUUCAUUGCAACGUAGCGAAAUGUGGAGAAAGUACUUAUCAGUAAAGCAAUUGUUGCUCCUUGGAGAUCUUGAAGCUUGAUUGCUCCAGAUUGAUAAACCUUCAGCUUCUGGAGUGGAAUGCUCCAAAACCAAGGCAUCUCUCUCUC